rnacentral:rRNA from 1 species
GACGAGGGAUCCUAGCGUUGUUCGGAAUCAUUGGGCGUAAAGCGGGUGCAGGUGGCUUUGUAAGUCAGGUGUGAAAUCCCAGGGCUCAACCCUGGAAGUGCAUUUGAUACUGUGAAGCUUGAGUGUGGGAGAGGUGAGUAGAAUUCCAGGGUGUAGUGGUGAAAUACGUAGAUAUCUGGAGGAAUACCGGAGGCGAAGGCGGCUCACUGGCCCAACACUGACACUCAGACCCGAAAGCGUGGGGAUCAAACAGG